rnacentral:ncRNA from 1 species
AGGGCUACCUCAUGAACGUGGGGGUGCAGUACAGAGUCAGCAGUUCAGUGGCUCACGAGCUAUGAUGCGUCAAAGGCGCAUGUAAAACCAAUCUAAUUCAGGGAAACCCUAUCAGAAAUGAGGGCAAUCCUGAGCGAAGCCUUAACAGGAACGUGCAGAGACUAUCGAAAGCAGAAGGUUAACACCUGAGAAGUGAGUAGAGUAGGGACGACAGGAGUUAUCCCGAAACGGUUGGGCUACGAGAGUAGCGUGAUAUAGUCCGAUACUUGUAGUAAUACAAGA